UACGGAGGGCGCAAGCGUUGUUCGGAAUCAUUGGGCGUAAAGCGCGUGCAGGCGGCUUGGUAAGUCGGGUGUGAAAUCCCGGGGCUCAACCCGGGAACUGCACCCGAUACUGCCUCGCUCGAGUCCCGGAGAGGAUGGCGGAAUUUCCGGUGUAGAGGUGAAAUUCGUAGAUAUCGGAAGGAACACCAGCGGCGAAGGCGGCCAUCUGGACGGUGACUGACGCUCAGACGCGAAAGCGUGGGGAGCAAACAGG
rnacentral:rRNA from 1 species